AUUGAACGCUGGCGGCAGGCUUAACACAUGCAAGUCGAGCGAGCGGCGGACGGGUGAGUAAUGUCUGGGAAACUGCCUGAUGGCGGGGGCUAACUACUGGAAACGGUAGCUACUACCGCAUACCAUCAGAUGUGCCCAGAUGGGAUUAGCUAGUAGGUGGGGUAAUGGCUAACCAAGGCGACGAUCCCUAGCUGGUCUGAGAGGAUGACCAGCCACACGGGGACUGAGACACGGGCCAGACUCCUACGGGAGGCAGCAGUGGGGAAUAUUGGACAAUGGGCGCAAGCCUGAUGCAGCCAUGCCGCGUGUAUGAAGAAGGUCUUCGGGUUGUAAAGUACUGUCAGCGGGGAGGCGUUACCCACAGAGGAAGCACCGGCUAACUCCGUGCCAGCAGCCGCGGUAAUAC
rnacentral:rRNA from 1 species